CCUUUGCCCGGGGGAAUUGAUGGAGAUGUGUCGGGGGUCCAGAACCACAGGUGUUAGGACCUAGCCAGUAAUGAAUGGCUUCCAGCUGAAUGUUAAUCAUGAUUAACGAGUGAGAAUGGCCAGGAGGCAGCGGGGCCUGACGACAGGGAGCUGACAGGGUGUAGCAAACAGUGCACACAGAGCGGCGCAGCAGGGGGGCAGUUUGGCCAGCCAAGGACAGACAUGUUGACACUCUCCCGCAUUUCAAGAAUCUUGGAUCGUCACUUUAUAGGGCACAUAAAUCUGUUUUCCAAUGAGGGAACAACACCACCACAGUGGAAAUGGGCAGAUUGGUUUCUUGUGGCUCUGAUAGAAAAAUAAUCCCCACUGUACUCCCUGCAAAAGUUGUUUACAUGCCAGAGGAACCACUUCAGCCUCUCUGCAAAGAAAGAGGAAAAAACACGGCGAGAGAAAAAAGGAGAAAUGAGCUCAAAUGAUUUGGUGUUUUCAGAAACUUUAAUGAGUGCACCUCGUCUUAUGUGUUACACAUGAUAAGAUGUAUUUGAUAAACCUUGCAAAACCAGCGACAAAACACAGCUGCUAAACCAUUUCCAUCAAGACAGAAAGAUAUAUUUAUGAAUACGUUUAGCUUACUGUGCACAACAGGAAACGUUGCAGAGAUGUGAUGUGAAGCAGGACUCCUGAUGAGCUCAGUGGAAGCAGCCAGGGAAGCAGGUCCUGAUGAAAAGUGCAUGAGGGUCACAUCGAUCUGACACCGACAGCAGCAGAGAAAGGAACACUUUGAAAGUUUCACUGCGAUGACAUGUUUGGCUCAGACACUGUAGCAGAGUCCGACUGUGUCAUGCUUUCAGCUGAAUCACUCAGUCAGAUGAGUAGGAAAAUACAACCAGCGUGAUGGUCUCUGUGUU